GAUGAACGCUGGCGGCGUGCUUAACACAUGCAAGUCGAACGGGAAACCUUUUAUUGAAGCUUCGGCAGAUUUAGCUGGUUUCUAGUGGCGGACGGGUGAGUAACGCGUGGGUAACCUGCCUUAUACAGGGGGAUAACAGUCAGAAAUGACUGCUAAUACCGCAUAAGCGCACAGGACCGCAUGGUCUGGUGUGAAAAACUCCGGUGGUAUAAGAUGGACCCGCGUUGGAUUAGCUUGUUGGUGAGGUAACGGCUCACCAAGGCGACGAUCCAUAGCCGGCCUGAGAGGGUGAACGGCCACAUUGGGACUGAGACACGGCCCAGACUCCUACGGGAGGCAGCAGUGGGGAAUAUUGCACAAUGGGGGAAACCCUGAUGCAGCGACGCCGCGUGAAGGAAGAAGUAUCUCGGUAUGUAAACUUCUAUCAGCAGGGAAGAUAGUGACGGUACCUGACUAAGAAGCCCCGGCUAACUACGUGCCAGCCGCCGCGGUAA
rnacentral:rRNA from 1 species